rnacentral:lncRNA from 1 species
AUUAGUAGAUAAUUAACUUGAAUUAAUCUUAUCAAAUAAAAAAUUUAAAUGUAAAAAAAAAAUUUGAGUUCAACCAUGUGCUAGCAAGGUUAUCCUAAACCCAAUAGGAUUUCUUUAAAUCCAAUUGAGACUUCAUAAGCCCAAUAGUUUAUUUCAGAUUUAAUCUCUUUAUUGUAUGACCUCAUAGGUUCAAUUCUAUCUAAUAGUGAGAUAUACAAUGAUCUCUAUCAUAAUAUCAUAGAAAUUUUUUUUAAU